AGAGUUUGAUCAUGGCUCAGGAUGAACGCUAGCUACAGGCUUAACACAUGCAAGUCGAGGGGCAGCAUGAAACUUAGCUUGCUAAGUUUGAUGGCGACCGGCGCACGGGUGAGUAACACGUAUCCAACCUACCGUUUACUACGGGAUAGCCUUCUGAAAAGGAGAUUAAUACCGUAUGGUAUUCUAAAGUUUCAUGACAUUAGAAUUAAAGGUUUACCGGUAAUCGAUGGGGAUGCGUUCCAUUAGAUAGUAGGCGGGGUAACGGCCCACCUAGUCAGCGAUGGAUAGGGGUUCUGAGAGGAAGGUCCCCCACAUUGGAACUGAGACACGGUCCAAACUCCUACGGGAGGCAGCAGUGAGGAAUAUUGGUCAAUGGGCGAGAGCCUGAACCAGCCAAAAGUAGCGUGAAGGAUGACUGCCCUAUGGGUUGUAAACUUCUUUUAUAAAGGAAUAAAGUGGUCCACGUGUGGAUUUUUGUAUGUACUUUAUGAAUAAGGAUCGGCUAACUCCGUGCCAGCCGCCGC
rnacentral:rRNA from 1 species